rnacentral:lncRNA from 1 species
CUCUGACUGGGUGGCAUUGGGAAGGGGCCAGGUCUCAGAGAAGCAAGGACUAACUCAUCAGUCAAUAACAGAUGUAGGCAUGCUGGGACAUGCCAAUGACCUCAGGCUUAUUUAGUGACUGCCUGUCACUUUCCCAUUCUGCUUCUCUCAGUGAUAACUUUUGUUCUGAACUUUUUGUGGUCACAUGGAGAACACAUCUCUUCUGGAUGGGCAGCUAAGACAGGUAGGACCAUAAGAUGACCACAUUACACACAACUUCAGUUCUAUUCUAGGGAGCAAGGGCCAUACAGAUAACCCAGUGGUAAGUCAAUAAGACUCAAAGAAAACAAAAAUAUAGUGUGUUUGUUAGCAUUGGCAGACCAGCAAUAGAAGAGAAGGUAAUAAUUGAUGCAGCAUGAAUGCCAAAUGAUGAUAUUCUUUGAUCUGGCAUAGACACACAGCCAGAGUUCUAAACCUCUGAGGUCUUACAUCAACCAUACUUAGCUGCCCAUGUGACCUGGAAUCUCCCUUUGUCAGUAAAGGCAGUUUCUUUAUAAUUUUUAUUAGCAUGUAUCCAUGAAUAAGUUGCCAGUUCUCUCCCUUGGCCUCUAAAGAUAUUUACUGGAAAUACCUUCAAGUCCCACUGAAAUAAAAUUUCCUCAGAUUUAUUUCUAUGUAAAGGCAUCACUUAUGUAGAAAAGUAAUAUAUUUCUUCUCUACAUUCAUGUAUUAAUGUGGCUGCAUUAUUUUCCCCUACCAUUCUUUUUUUUUUAAUAGCAGAAAAAUAAUUACUUCAGGGAAAAUCUACCUUGCAAACAAUUUUAUUCAUCUUUUCGCUGGGCCUGGAGAUAUGAAUUCUGCACAGUAACACUCUGAGGGGCCAACAUUCCUCCUUAGUACACAGGUACCUUGGUUUCUGCUAUGAUAUUGAAGAACAAAUCAAGGACAUAAGGCUGAGAGAUACAAUGUGGCUGAUUUCAAACAGAAACGAUGCUCAGUACUUCAUUACCUGUUUUGUUGUUGUUCAGGUUCAUGGGACCUUUCUCCAUGCAGUGAUCCAGGCUACUCUACUUUUGAUAUUUCCGUCUCAACACAUGGUCUUCAAGGCUGCUACAGUAGAAGAAGAGGAAAUUGAAGGGUUACGUGCUGUCUCUUAAAUGUCUUGGCUCAGAAGUGAUAUAUGUCACUUCUGCUCCUGUUUUAUUGGAAAAAAAAUAGCCAUCUGUCCCUGAUAACUAUAAAGGGGGUUAAGAAUUGUGGAGGAGCUCACUGAAUAUCCGACUUACAUGACUGUCUCUUCCACCUCAUUAUGUUAGGUGGGAACUAAGGCUUCAGGACUAUAGAGAACAUGGAAGAACAUUUACACAUGCCUUCCACUAAUCAUCCACUUUCUUCUCAGCACUAUGUGACUGACUCUGUAUUAGGGGCUAAAAAAUAAAAUAAAUAAAAUAAAACA